rnacentral:rRNA from 1 species
AUUGAACGCUGGCGGCAUGCCUUACACAUGCAAGUCGAACGGUAACAGGUCUUCGGAUGCUGACGAGUGGCGAACGGGUGAGUAAUACAUCGGAACGUGCCUAGUAGUGGGGGAUAACUACUCGAAAGAGUGGCUAAUACCGCAUGAGAUUUACGGAUGAAAGCAGGGGAUCGCAAGACCUUGUGCUACUAGAGCGGCCGAUGGCAGAUUAGGUAGUAGGUGGGAUAAAAGCUUACCAAGCCGACGAUCUGUAGCUGGUCUGAGAGGACGAUCAGCCACACGGCGACUGAGACACGGCCCAGACGCCUACGGGAGGCAGCAGGGGGGAAGUUAGGACAAUGGGCGAAAGCCUGAUCCAGCAAUGCCGCGUGCAGGAUGAAGGCCUUCGGGUUGUAAACUGCUUUUGUACGGAACGAAAAGCCCCGGGUUAAUACCCUGGGGUCAUGACGGUACCGUAAGAAUAAGCACCGGCUAACUACGUGCCAGCCGCCGCAGUAA